rnacentral:hammerhead_ribozyme from 1 species
AUCCAGCUGACGAGUCCGAAAUAGGACGAAGCGCACCUUGUCCUGGAU